rnacentral:rRNA from 1 species
GCUCCGGCCCGACCUCCCACCCUUUGUGUACCUACCUCUGUUGCUUUGGCGGGCCGCGGUCCUCCGCGGCCGCCCCCCUCCCCGGGGGGGGCCAGCGCCCGCCAGAGGACCAUCAAACUCCAGUCAGUAAACGAUGCAGUCUGAAAAACAUUUAAUAAACUAAAACUUUCAACAACGGAUCUCUUGGUUCUGGCAUCGAUGAAGAACGCAGCGAAAUGCGAUAAGUAAUGUGAAUUGCAGAAUUCAGUGAAUCAUCGAAUCUUUGAACGCACAUUGCGCCCUUUGGUAUUCCGAAGGGCAUGCCUGUUCGAGCGUCAUUACAACCCUCAAGCUCUGCUUGGUAUUGGGCACCGUCCUUUGCGGGCGCGCCUCAAAGACCUCGGCGGUGGCGUCUUGCCUCAAGCGUAGUAGAACAUACAUCUCGCUUCGGAGCGCAGGGCGUCGCCCGCCGGACGAACCUUCUGAACUUUUCUCAAGGUUGACCUCGGAUCAGGUAGGGAUACCCGCUGAACUUAAGCAUAUCAUAAGGCCCGGGAGGAAUCAUUACCGAGUUGAUUCGGGCUCCGGCCCGACCUCCCACCUUUGUGUACUACCUCUGUUGCUGGGGCGGGCCGGGUCCUCCGCGGCGCUCCUCCCGGGGGGGGGGCCGCGCGCCCGAGGACAUCAUACUCAGUCAGUAAACGAUGCAUCUGAAAAACAUUUAAUAAACUAAAUACUUUCAACAACGGAUCUCUUGGUUCUGCAUCGAUGAAGAACGCAGCGAUGCGAUAGUAAUG